UUGUAACGUUUUACAGUUAGUAUUUUCCUUGCGUUGGUGUGUUGAUAAAUAUUGUGUUUCACUCGGUAGCAAGGUAUUAGUAGUAGUAAAAUACUUUAUUGUACAAAAAGAAACAUAAAAUAUGAAAGAACACACAUCAUUAGUACAAAGGCGAACUUAUCCCUUUCAGGGAUCUCUUCCAGUUAACCCUUGAGCAAUUGAGGGAGAAUUGGAGAACGGUAGACAUAAAAGCUGUACUAAUCGGCAUAAA